rnacentral:rRNA from 1 species
AGAGUUUGAUCAUGGCUCAGAAUGAACGCUGGCGGCGUGCCUAACACAUGCAAGUCGAGCGAGAAAUCACACUUCGGUGUGAGAGUAGAGCGGCGCACGGGUGAGUAACGCGUGGAUAAUCUACCCAUGGAUUGGGGAUAACCCUGCGAAAGCGGGGCUAAUACCUGAUAGUCUGGUCAUUAUAUAGAUGAUCGGUAAAGGUGGCCUCUGAUACAAGCUACUGUCCGUGGAUGAGUCCGCGUCUCAUUAGCUGGUUGGUGGGGUAAUGGCCUACCAAGGCGACGAUGAGUAGCUGGUCUGAGAGGAUGAUCAGCCACACUGGGACUGGAACACGGCCCAGACUCCUACGGGAGGCAGCAGUGGGGAAUAUUGGGCAAUGGGCGCAAGCCUGACCCAGCAACGCCGUGUGAGGGAAGAAGGUUUUCGGAUCGCAAACCUCUGUCAGAAGGGAAGAAGUGGCACAUAUUUAAUAUAUGUUUGCUUUGACGGUACCUUCAGAGGAAGCACCGGCUAACUCCGCGCCAGCAGCCGCGGUAAUACGGAGGGUGCAAGCGUUAUUCCGAAUCACUGGGCGUAAGCGCGCGUAUGUUGCGUGGUAAGUCAGAUGUGACGCCCCCGGCUCAACCGGGGAACUGCAUUUGAAUCUGCCAUGCUUGACCACGA